GACCUCGAGAUCUGCCUGCCUCCACCUUCCAAAGUGCUGGGAUUACAGGCAUCAGCCACCAUGACCUGCCUAUCUGAGGUGAUGUCUUCUGCCAUGUUAUGACAUAACAAGAUGGCCCUCACCAGCUGCCUGUAUCAAGCUCUUGGACUUUCCAUCCUCCAGAAUUAUAGGUUCCAAAUCUUCAGGAAAAAAUAAGAGUGGGAGGAGCUGGAUGGAGAAGAAAAGCUAACGACAACAGAAGCAGUUUAUUCAAGGUGACGUCUGAUUACCCUGGCCUGUCUUCAGAAAGAAUCCUACCCCUGAUGCUUCCUCUUGGUAAUUUUCCAACCACCGACCUCCUAUGCUGCUCCUCGGCUGUAAAUUUCCACUUGUCUAUGCUGCAUUCGGAGGUAAGGGAGAAAACGCUGAAUGAUCUCUUUCUGCUGAUGGCUACAACACUCAAACGAUUGACACUAUUUAACACAUGCUUUUGGUCUCUCCUUCUCAUCUGCUAGCAGCAAUACAUGUGACUGAUCUUUGUUAACUUCCUGUAUACUAGUACUCAAUAAUUUGAUUUUUGGCAUGUAUAUUUAGCUUCAUUGAUCCAGGGAACCAAAAUCUGGGGAUAACAUUAUAAUCUAAAAUGAACAGAGGUAGUUCUGGGAUAUGCUAAAAGACAUCAAUCAUCCAUGAUGUAUUCAUUUAAAAAAAGAUCUUUUAUGAAUAAAUAGGAGGAGCCCAGAGAAAUAAAGCGUGUUCCAAAAAGAUAUCUGUAAAGUUCUCUUCCAACUCACUUAUCUGUCAGGAAUUAGAACCCAAUACCAACAUGAAUCAUAUUUAAUUAGCAAAUUAUUCCAACAAUGGCUCAAAUCGAAAUGGGGCAGCAACAUAAAUGUGGUCAGUGUUACAUGUCCUUGCAAAUUUCCUUAACUAUGAAAUUUUUAGAAUUUGAAAUUCAGAGCAAUGUCAACAUUUUAGGUUGAAAUAGAUUUUUUCCUUGUUCUUUUUUAGAAAUGACAUAGUAGGGGACUUGGAAACUAGAUGAUCAUCUCAGGAAAAUAAUUAGCUUUGCAUCUCCUUUAAGAAUAAUUGUCAUUGUCAACAGUGACAGAAACCAAAUGCCAUUAUAUUUGCCCAAUAACACAGGCACAUUUUCCCCACACUGUGCCUAAACAGAGACGUAGACCGUAUGAAUAUGGCACCAAUUGCUCAGUACUUGCUUAGAGUUAUAUUAAAUGUAGGCAACAUAGUUUGGCUGUGUCCCCACCCAAAUCUCAUCUUGAAUUCCCAUGUGUUGUGGGAGGGACCCAGUGGGAGAUAAUUGAAUCAUGGGUGCAGGUCUUUCCGGUGCUGUUCUUGUGAUUGUGAAUAAGUCUCAUGAGAUCUGAUCAUUUUAAAAUGGGAAGUUUGCCUGCACAAGCUCUCUUCUCUUGUCUGCCGUCAUAUGAGACAUGCCUUUCACCUUCCACCAUGAUUGUGAGGCCUCCUCAGCCACGUGGAACUGUAAGUCCAAUAAAUCUCUUUCUUUCGUAAAUUGCCCAGUCUUGGAUGUGUCUUUAUCAGCAGCAUGAAAACAAACUAAUACAAUAGGGCCCUAGUAUGAGAAGAAGAUGAUUGACAUCAUAUUCAAUCUUUCCACAGCUUUCUUAAGACCCGAGGAUCUCAGGUCAUCAUUAUUGGAUCCCUGUGAGUCCCUCAUCUACAUGACCUUAA
rnacentral:lncRNA from 10 species